UUCGGAAACCUGUGCCCCAACGCUAGAAAAAAAAAACGAACAAACGUCAAAACGCAUAAAUUUUUAAAGAGUCGCGAAAAUGCUGAACGCUGAUAUCGUGAAAUCGUGGGACAGAACUGGAAAAUCGGAAUUCUUGAAACUAUGCAAGGCACAGUUGAAGGAGGACAUCAGUCCUCUGUUCAACAAGGCCGAUCGGAAGUCGGGAAUUUCCCGGGCAAUCUACGACUUGCUCUCCCAUGGAAUACGAGGACAAAUUAAGAAGGAAAGCACCUUGGCCACCCUGGGGGAACUGGCCCACAUGCACAGUGACAUUCCGUCCAUAAUGCUGGACAUUUUCGGUGUCCUGGAUGCGGAAACGGCUGCCGCCAGCAGUGUAGCUAACGCUUCCGGAACAGCCGGAGCUCCUGGUGCAGGCACCACAGGGAUCGGGGACGCCAGCUCGAGCGAAGAACGAAUCAUAUUCUGCUAUCUGGUUAAGGAAAGUGAACGAUUUUUGUCGGAAAAGCUGCUCAAAGAACGAUUGGAAAUAGACACUCUCCAGGAUGUUGGAACCAUAAAAAAUCGUAGCUUUUACACAAAGUUUAUCAAAGUUAAAACCAAGCUAUACUACAAACAGCGUCGUUUUAAUUUGUUCCGGGAGGAAAGCGAAGGUUACGCCAAACUGAUCACGGAACUGAACCAAGACUUCACCGAUACUAUCACAGUGCAAGGCAUCCUGGAGAUAAUCAAAUCGCUCAUCGGAUGCUUCAAUCUGGAUCCCAAUCGGGUGCUCGAUAUCAUGUUGGAAUCUUUCGAAACCCGUCCGGAUCAAGAUAAAAUCUUUGUGCCGUUGCUUCAGGGCUACAUCAACGACGGGAACAUCAUCUGCGAGGUACUCGGGUACAAGUAUAGGCAUUUUGCCGAUAGCAAGACUCCGUGCACGCUGUUUACGGUGACGGCACUUUUGCUGCAGCACGGCGUAAUCAAGCUGGACGAUAUCUAUGCGUGGUUAAGUCCAAUCGAUAAAACCAUUAUCGAAGAAUGGGAAUCGGAAGUGUCGGAUGCAAAGGAAUUCGUCCGGAAGCUGAACGUCGUUUCGACCAACAAAGACAAGGAACAGGAGCCGGAACAGGAGAAAGAGAUGACCCCGGAACGUUACGCCAGCAACCAGAAGUGGGGAUUAUGCGAAGCUCUGCUGGCCGUUGGUGAUUGGAACACGGCCCAGCAAUUGUUGAAAAAAUUGCCGGAACAAUCCAUCAUGGUCCAUCAACCGAUUGCCAAAGCUCUCAGUAAACUGCUGCACAUGAUCAUUGAACCGGUGUAUCGCUUGAAGUGUGCCCUGCCGUGCAAUAUUAAAGGUCAUCCCAUUAGCAAUGGACUUAGCAAAAUGGCUCCUCCACCGGUGACCACCAUUUCCAAACUACGUAAUCACGCUUUUCCGAUGUUUGUGGCUUUAGGGCCAUCGUUGCAUUACGAUUCGGUUUUGCUAUACAAGCUGCUUCGUCUAGUACGAGUUAUUUUAACCGAGAUGAAUGUCGAUCCGAUGAAUCCACCGACGCAGGGAGCGGAAAAUGAAGCCCUUUAUUAUGAUAUUUUAACUCUUUUGGAUGCAGCUAUUCUGCCCGCACUGUCCUAUAUGGAUUGCAAUUGUUGUGUGGCCGAGGAAAUUUGGUCUAUCGUCAAGUUAUACCCCUAUCAAUACCGAUAUUGUUUGUACGCCAGAUGGAAAAACGAUACUUACCUGUUGCAACCGAAACUGAUUCGACGUCGAGGAAACGCGCAGAAACAAAUCAAAGCGUUGAUGAAACGGGUUAGCAAAGAAAACAGCAAACCGGUCGGACGUUUGAUCGGAAAAUUGAGCCACUGUUCACCGGGCUUUCUUUUUGACUACAUCCUUCUUCAAAUCCAAAUCUACGACAAUCUGAUUACGCCGGUAGUGGAUUCGCUCAAAUAUCUAACGUCCCUGUCGUACGACGUGCUCGGGUAUUGUUUGAUCGAAUCGCUGGAGCAGGUCGAUCGUAAUCCAAUGCAAAACGAUGGCACCUCAAUCUCGCUAUGGCUUCAAAGCUUGGCCAAUUUUUGCGGUGCUAUCUACAAGAAGUACAACAUCGAGCUGAGCGGGUUGCUCCAGUACGUGGCCAAUCAAUUGAAGGCACACAAGAGCUUAGACCUUUUAAUUUUGAAGGAGGUGGUCCAGAAGAUGACCGGGAUCGAAGCGGCCGAGGAAAUGACAGCCGAACAGAUUGGUGCAAUGUGCGGUGGAGAACUGCUUAGGGGAGAGGCGGGAUAUUUCAGUCAGGUCCGCAACACUAAAAAGUCAUCGCAACGACUGAAGGAUGCCUUGGCCAGUAACGAUCUGUCGGUGGCCCUUUGUUUGUUGAUCGCUCAACAGAAGCACUGCGUAAUCUACCGGGAAACGGCUUCCAGUCAUUUGAAGCUGGUGGGCAAACUUUACGAUCAGUGUCAGGACACCCUGGUUCAGUUCGGCACGUUCCUUGGAUCCAACUACAGCGUCGAGGAGUAUGUCGAGCGCCUGCCGAGUAUCCAUAAUAUGUUGCAAGAGUACCAUAUCCACUCGGAUGUUGCCUUUUUCCUGGCCAGACCGAUGUUCUCCCAUGCCAUUAGCCAAAAGUACGAUCAGCUCCGGAAGGCGGAUCAAAACUCGAAGAAACUUUCCACCUCCCAGAAAAUGGCAAAAUAUCUGGAAGCCACCUGUUUCGUAAUGAAUCCGGUAAUCGAAUCUGUGCGACCGCUGCACCCGCCCAAGAUUUGGGAAGACAUAAGCCCCCAGUUUUUGGUUACCUUCUGGUCCCUGAGUAUGUAUGAUCUGCAAGUUCCUAUCGAGAGUUAUCAGAAGGAAAUAAACAAGCUAAAGCAGCUGGCCCUAUCAUCCAUGGAUUCCAAAGAACAAAAUGCAUCGAAGAACAAGAAGGAACAGGAGCGCCACAACGCUUUGAUCGAUAAGCUACAGGACGAGCGAAAGAAACAGCAGGAACACGUGGACAAGAUCAUGCAUCGACUGACGAGCGAGAAGGAUUCCUGGUUCCUAUCCCGAUCGGCCAAAUCUGCCAAAAACGAGACAAUCACACAGUUCCUGCAGCUUUGUCUGUUCCCGCGGUGCACAUUCACAGCCCUGGAUGCGUUGUACUGUGCCAAAUUCGUCCAUACCAUUCACAGCCUGAAGACGGCCAAUUUCUCUACCCUCCUUUGCUACGAUCGAAUAUUCUGCGACAUCACUUACUCGGUAACUUCAUGUACCGAAAACGAAGCCACACGUUACGGGAGAUUCCUGUGCGCCAUGCUGGAGACGGUUAUGCGCUGGCAUGCCGAUCAGAGCACAUUCAAUCGCGAGUGCUGCAAUUAUCCGGGCUUUGUAACGAAAUUCCGCGUGAGCAAUCAAUUCUCCGAAGCAAACGAUCAUGUCAACUAUGAAAACUACCGCCACGUUUGCCACAAGUGGCAUUAUAAAAUUACCAAAGCAAUGGUGUUUUGCUUAGAUUCCAAGGAUUACAUGCAGAUACGCAAUUCGCUAAUUAUUCUGAUGCGAAUUUUGCCACACUUCCCGGUACUCGCCAAGCUGGCUCAGAUAAUUGAGAAAAAAGUUGAAAAGGUUCGCGAAGAGGAAAAAAAUCAGCGGCAGGAUUUGUUUGUCCUGGCGUCCAGUUACAUAGGGCAGCUAAAGGCCCGCUCCGGGCAGAUGAUGCGGGAAAGCGAUUUCCACCAGGUUUCCGAGAAGCCGGUCAAGGUCGAGUCACAAGAAUCGAAGGCAGUAAACGGUGAUAGCAAGAACGAACGUAAAGAAAUUAAGGCCGAGAAAAAGGUUAUCGUUUCCAGCAACUCUUCUACGAGUUUGUCGACUACAAAGCAAACGUUGAAUUCAAAUUCUCAGGCCUCAAAUAGUAACACCAGCAGCGGUAGCAGUUCCAGCACCAACUCCGAUGUCAAAAUCAUCGAGCGUGAAAUCAAGAAAGAAACACCGGCUCGGGAAUCGUCCACUCGGGAGACUUCCGUCGUUAGCAGUAGCGGUACCGCGACGAAGGAAAAAUCGUCCAAGGAAAUCAAACGGGAGGAACGGGCCCGGGAGAAGGAACGGGAACGGGAAGAAGCAGCCGCCGAAAAGAAGCGCGAAAAGGAAAAGGAGAAACGGCGUGAAAAAUCUACUAGAGCUGCUCUAGCUGCAGCAGCGGCCGCCGAGUACGAGCUUCAACUGCAGCAGCAGGCCGCCACGGAGCGCGAGUCGCGGGCCUUGGAGAGGGAACGGGAUCGCAGCGAACGGGACCUCAGCUCGGUUUCCAACUCCAGCAACGAGCAUCGCCGAAGCCAGGACCCGCCGGAUAAUGAUAGAGAAAUCAAACGUCGCAAAUUGGAAAGUGCCAGCUCCAAGGUUAGUAUUCUGGUGUAGACAACACUUGUUGACAAAAAAAGAAAGAACAGUGCUCUCUGUGUAAGAAAGUGGGAGGAACAGAAUCGAAAGAAAAAAACAAAUAGCAGUUAGAGAAAAGCAAUGAGCAAAACGUUCCGAAACUUGAACCGUAGAGAAAACCGUUUGCGUGUGUGUGAGAUGGUGGCCAUGGUCUGGUUUUCGAGCGGCGUGACGAGGUGCCGUCGUGAUGUGGUGUUGCUGGGCUGACUGACUUGCCGGUUGACUGCUAUUUGGGUGCUAGCUGAAGAUGGACGGAGGUGGACCGAAACUUUCAUGGAGAUAAACCAAUUUUACGGGUCGAGGCUGGAAGAUGGUAAACUGGUAGACAUGGAAACCCCUUAGUGACGAAUCAGGAUAGAUUUGCUGCUGUUUGAACAUAUCAAAAGAUGAUCAGAAUUACGACCAACAGUUCGAUGCCAAAGGAUAAGCGAGUUUGACUAACGUUCCAAGGAAUGAAAAACAAAAUAAAUGGAAAUCAUUUUUCACCCUUGAUUCCAUUUGAUAGCACAUUUGAAAAUCGAUCAUCUUACAUAUGUUAAGAAAUGCAGAAUUAUUAAAUAAAAAGCCUGGAGGCCAACUCGCAUCAUUUAAAAAAAUCAUCGUGAAAAACGGAUUUGUUUCCGUCAUCGAGGGAAUGUUUCGAGCAGAGGAGAAACGAAACCAUGGCAGGCGAUUUUAUUGGAAGUAAAAGUAAAUUACAUUGCUACCAAAUGUAAUUUUAAUCUGGAUCCAGUUGAUACAUUAAGUAUGUGGAACAAUUCAUCGUUCUUGAUUAUAAACGGAUAUAAGCAAGUCCAAUGCUUAGGCACUAUGUUGAAUCUAAAAAAAUGUCAAAAUCUUCGGACGGUUUCCUAAACUUUUUAUUGAUGUUCACGAAGUUCAAUCGUGAAGACGCCUUGCCAAGAAAAAUCUAUAUUGAAGGAAUCGAAUAGCCCUGGAUAUUGGACAGGAAGCAAUCGUCACCCCAAUUGCACCGUUUGGAAGGAAGCGCCAACAAAGCAUCACCGGAUACCCGUGCAGUGACCUAGGAAGUGUACUAGUGGAAGCUUUCAGCAGUGAUAUAUUUUUUCCGAUUUUCUUUAAGAACUUUUGCAAUUAAAUUAACGACGCUCAAAGAACAAUUAUUUUAACAUUUCUCUUGAAAGUGAAUUACUUGAUUAGAGCUUAACUCAAAUCGAAAUAUCAGCGUAUCAUUUUUCUCAAAUUAAAUUUUAUUGGCAAUGAAAUACAAAAGCGUCAAAUUAGUGCUACAAAUGAAAAAAAAUGGCAGACAUCCGACGUUGGCAUCCGGAAAACUUUGAAGAGUGCAUCAGCAACGACAGAUUUCCAAGACACAGUGCCACCUCACACGUUAUACCCCCUCUCCAUUUGCUCACGUUGUAAAUUCUUACCGGUUCAACGGGUGCAAGAGCAAGCACGACGACGGAGUUCAGCUGCAAUCGUCCUCAUCGAACGAAAGCAAAAAGGAGCGCAGCAGCAAGACCCGGGACAAGCGGGACAAAACCGAAGAAGAGAAGGAACUGCGCAAGGAGCGGAAGCUCAGUCGAAA